rnacentral:lncRNA from 1 species
GAAAAAUCAAGAUUAAACCAAUUUUAUUGACAUUGUCUAGUAUUCAUUGGAGAUGGCUAAGCUUACCUUAACGAAUAUUUUCGCCCUUUUCCUUUUGUUUUCUGGUUUGUUCUAGAUAGUGUCACAGUAUCUACUUUCUUCAUAUUUAUCUAUGUAUGGUUUGCAAAAUUAUAAAUGUUUAAUCAGCUAUGCUAUUUGUAUAAUUGAUGAGACACUUCAGUUUUUAUAUAUAUCAAAUAAUAAUAUCGAUACUUUGUUUUAUAAAAGGAAAUGUCUUGUGAGAUAUUAAAUUAAACUUUUGAUUCCCUUAAGCAAGAACCCGGGUAAGUGGUACAUGCUUGAUUCCCCUUAAGCAAGACUUGGGUUCAAGUCUUGUGGAUAGAAAAAAUGCUCGUUGAGAGAGUUAGCCCUACGUACCUGUGGAUAUUCCCGGCUCGGACAUGAUUACCUCCAGCGCGAGGAUACAUGUGGGAAACAAAAAAAUUUAAACUUUUGAUGAGAGUUACCAUGUCUAAUUGCAUGAGAACAAUUUUUUAUAAUUUUAAUUACUUGUUUCUUAGUUUUUCAUUUCAGUGUUCUUGAGUUUCAGGUAUUUUAAUGACAAGUAGUGAAGCAAAAAGAUGUGAAGAAAAUGUAUCUGUAUGGAUAUGCGAUAUUAAAGUAUGUAAAGAGCAAUGUAAAGCUACUGGUAAUAGGUUAAAACGUAAUAAUCCUGAUGGAAUAUGCAAACGCGGAAAAUUUGAUGGCAUCAAUUGUUUUUGUGUCUAUGAUUGUUGAUCUACUUGUACCUUUCUU